ensembl:lncRNA
CUCUGUAAUAAUUUCUGUCACGGACCCGGUUCCGGGGACUCGGGGUUCGUGAACAGUGUGGACCUUUAUUGUUAUUAGUGUAUUGGAUGUAUGUUUGCUGCACUGUGUUCUUGUGUUCAAUGCUGGUGUGUGUGUGUGUGUGUGUGUGUGUGUGUGUGUGAGGCUGGAGGAUGAAGGACAGCCACCUGCAGGCCUGAUGGGUGUGGCCCUGCCAGCUGCUGGUCACGCCUAGCUUACCACACACCUGCUUCUGAUCAGGAUCGUCGGGGGAGCUACUUAACAGAGCGAUGGAGCUUCCUCCGGCGCAGGAUCGUUGAGUUAGACUCCAUGAGAGUGGAACACAGGACGGCAAGACACACGGGGUGUGUGAAGGCACAGGGG